UAAAAAGACCGGAGGAAGGUGAGGAUGAUGUCAAGUCAGCAUGACCUUUAUAUCCAGGGCUACACACACGCUACAAUGGUCUGUACAAUGGUAGCCAAGCCGCGAGGCGGAGCCAAUCCUGAAAGCAGGCCUCAGUUCAGAUUGCAGUCUGCAACUCGACUGCAUGAAGCCGGAGUUGCUAGUAACCGCAGGUCAGCAAUACUGCGGUGAAUACGUUCCCGGGUCUU
rnacentral:rRNA from 1 species